CGAAACCUAAAGAAAAUCGCAGAAAUCCAUGAGCAGAUGAAGAAACACCAAGAAAAAUAGAAAAGCAAACAAGAAAAAACAGAGAAAACCAAUGCAGAAAAAGAACAUGAAAAAAAAGAAACAAGAAAAAGAUAAAAAAUAAUAAGCUUAGGAAAAGAAAAAAAAACAUAUUAAAACCAAGAAUUAAAGGAAGAAAAUCGAAAAAA
rnacentral:lncRNA from 1 species